UGCGAACAAGCGGAUAAAAAGCCUGGAGUGACAGCCCUAUUAGAGGCUAAUGGAGGCUGAGGCAGCUGAGACCCUGACACACACACACACACACAAAAAGAGAGACGACCACGCCCCGAGACCAACCAAGCGGCUCCCCCGAGCUUCACUGCCUGUCUUUGCCUUCAUCCCUCUUGUCCUCUAUCCCUGUAGUUAAAGAUUUUUAUGGGUGAGGGAGUGGCACAUGGAUGGGGAGAUUGGAUGGGCUCUCAUGCUAUCAGCCGUCCCAGGAGGUAAGAAAAGGUCAAGGACUCUCAUUUUUCAUCUCAGACAAUUACCCUCCCAUUUCAGCCUGUCUCUCCAUCUCAGCCUCUUAGCCUGCUGCUCUCCACCCGCUCCUCUAAUCGCACUCGCUCUCCCCCACACACAGACACACCCACAAUGCCCUUCGAAUGAUCAUCGGCAUCAGGAUGAUAUCAUUCCUGAGAGUCGGCAGACGGCAGCACUGGUCCUCGGCUGUGUUUCCGUCCCAGGAAGAUGCCUAAAUAUGUGGGACUAUGAGGUCAGAGGACAACAGGCUCUAAGUGGCCAGCGGCUCUUUAACCGGCUGGUUCACAAAUGAAUCUGGAACAGUGAGAAGAAGACAGAAGCCUGCAGAGGAGGUGGAGACAGUAACAAGGCAGUGAACAUCAGAGCGAGCGUUUCUGUCGUGAGACGGAAGACGACAUGGGAGUGAGCUUUUUAGUCACGACUAGGACCACUGAAAACACACACACACUCACACACGCACACACACGCGCACACACACUCCAUAAGCAUUUUCAAACCUUCAUUUCUCGGGGCUCAGAAGUUCUGGCACAUAACUACAGCAUAAUUCAUGUAAAAAGCAAAAAUGGAUGAAUGUGGAUGUAGACUGAGUCACGUGGAUGAAAUCUGUUGAAAACAGGAAGUGACACAUGUCUGUGAUGUACAACCCGGCUGCGACAAAGUAACAAAAAAAUCAAAAUAAUCUUUAUUGCAUAUGAAUAGCAGAGGUAAGAUGAAGCUGUUUUAAAGCUCCAGUAGGACUUAUCUGUCAGCUGAGGAGUAAAAAACAAACAAAGAAGAAACAACAUGUAAACAUGUAUUGAAAUAUUGAACUCUCUCAUAAAUGCAGCCAUAAAAAU